AGUGAGUAAUGUCUGGGAAACUGCCUGAUGGAGGGGGAUAACUACUGGAAACGGUAGCUAAUACCGCAUAACGUCGCAAGACCAAAGAGGGGGACCUUCGGGCCUCUUGCCAUCGGAUGUGCCCAGAUGGGAUUGGCUAGUAGGUGGGGUAACGGCUCACCUAGGCGACGAUCCCUAGCUGGUCUGAGAGGAUGACCAGCCACACUGGAACUGAGACACGGUCCAGACUCCUACGGGAGGCAGCAGUGGGGAAUAUUGCACAAUGGGCGCAAGCCUGAUGCAGCCAUGCCGCGUGUAUGAAGAAGGCCUUCGGGUUGUAAAGUACUUUCAGCGGGGAGGAAGGGAGUAAAGUUAAUACCUUUGCUCAUUGACGUUACCCGCAGAAGAAGCACCGGCUAACUCCGUGCCAGCAGCCGCGGUAAUACGGAGGGUGCAAGCGUUAAUCGGAAUUGCUGGGCGUAAAGCGCACGCAGGCGGUUUGUUAAGUCAGAUGUGAAAUCCCCGGGCUCAACCUGGGAACUGCAUCUGAUACUGGCAAGCUUGAGUCUCGUAGAGGGGGGUAGAAUUCCAGGUGUAGCGGUGAAAUGCGUAGAGAUCUGGAGGAAUACCGGUGGCGAAGGCGGCCCCCUGGACGAAGACUGACGCUCAGGUGCGAAAGCGUGGGGAGCAAACAGGAUUAGAUACCCUGGUAGUCCACGCCGUAAACGAUGUCGACUUGGAGGUUGUGCCCUUGAGGCGUGGCUUCCGGAGCUAACGCGUUAAGUCGACCGCCUGGGGAGUACGGCCGCAAGGUUAAAACUCAAAUGAAUUGACGGGGGCCCGCACAAGCGGUGGAGCAUGUGGUUUAAUUCGAUGCAACGCGAAGAACCUUACCUGGUCUUGACAUCCACGGAAGUUUUCAGAGAUGAGAAUGUGCCUUCGGGAACCGUGAGACAGGUGCUGCAUGGCUGUCGUCAGCUCGUGUUGUGAAAUGUUGGGUUAAGUCCCGCAACGAGCGCAACCCUUAUCCUUUGUUGCCAGCGGUCCGGCCGGGAACUCAAAGGAGACUGCCAGUGAUAAACUGGAGGAAGGUGGGGAUGACGUCAAGUCAUCAUGCCCCUUACGACCAGGGCUACACACGUGCUACAAUGGCGCAUACAAAGAGAAGCGACCUCGCGAGAGCAAGCGGACCUCAUAAAGUGCGUCGUAGUCCGGAUUGGAGUCUGCAACUCGACUCCAUGAAGUCGGAAUCGCUAGUAAUCGUGGAUCAGAAUGCCACGGUGAAUACGUUCCCGGGCCUUGUACACACCGCCCGUCACACCAUGGGAGUGGGUUGCAAAAGAAGUAGGUAGCUUAACCUUCGGGAGGGCGCUUACCACUUUGUGAUUCAUGACUGGGGUGAAGUCGUAACAAGGUA
rnacentral:rRNA from 1 species